rnacentral:rRNA from 1 species
CGAAUAGUAUCCGGUUCCGUGAAGGGGGCCGGGGAAAGGGAGGCCUCUGGUACAAGCUUCCGCUCCUGGAUGAGCCCAUGGCCCAUCAGCUAGUUGGCAGGGUAAAGGCCUACCAAGGCGACGACGGGUAGCUGGUCUGAGAGGACAACCAGCCACACUGGCACUGAGACACGGGCCAGACUCCUACGGGAGGCAGCAGUGAGGAAUAUUGCGCAAUGGGGGCAACCCUGACGCAGCAACGCCGCGUGUGGGAAGAAGGCUUUCGGGUUGUAAACCACUUUUGCCCGGGACGAAAGGGGGGACCUGAAUAAGGUUGCCCGAUGACGGUACCGGGAGAAUAAGCCACGGCUAACUCUGUGCCAGCAGCCGCGGUAAGACAGAGGUGGCNAGCGUUGUUCGGAGUUACUGGGCGUAAAGAGUCUGUAGGUGGUCUGUCAAGUCUUUGGUGAAAGGCCGUGGCUUAACCAUGGGAAUGCCAAAGAGACUGGCAGACUGGAGGCUGGGAGAGGGAAGCGGAAUUU